rnacentral:rRNA from 1 species
GACGAACGCUGGCGGCGUGCUUAACACAUGCAAGUCGAACGAAGUGGCGAACGGGUGAGUAACGCGUAAUCAACCUGCCCUUCAGAGGGGGAAAACAGUUUGAAACGACUGCUAAUACCGCAUACUGAAGGAGGGGCUUGCGUCUGAUUAGGUAGUGGGAGGGGUAAAGGCCCACCAAGGCGAUGAUCAGUAGCCGGUCGUGGAGGAUGAACGGCCACAAUGGGACUGAGACACGGCCCAGACUCCUACGGGAGGCAGGAGUGGGGAAUCUUCCGCAAUGGACGAAAGGCUGAAGGGGCAACGCCGCGGGGGUGAUGACGGCCUUCGGGUUGGAAAGCUCUGUUAGUCGGGACGCGGUACCGGAAUAGAAAGCCACGGCUAACUACGUGCCAGCAGCCGCGGUAAUUC